rnacentral:rRNA from 1 species
CACUCCUGCGGGAGGCAGCAGUGGGGAAUUUUGGACAAUGGGCGAAAGCCUGAUCCAGCAAUGCCGCGUGAGUGAAGAAGGCCUUCGGGUUGUAAAGCUCUUUUGUCAGGGAAGAAACGGUGAAAGCUAAUAUCUUUUGCUAAUGACGGUACCUGAAGAAUAAGCACCGGCUAACUACGUGCCAGCAGCCGCGGUAAUACGUAGGGUGCAAGCGUUAAUCGGAAUUACUGGGCGUAAAGCGUGCGCAGGCGGUUUUGUAAGUCUGAUGUGAAAUCCCCGGGCUCAACCUGGGAAUUGCAUUGGAGACUGCAAGGCUAGAAUCUGGCAGAGGGGGGUAGAAUUCCACGUGUAGCAGUGAAAUGCGUAGAUAUGUGGAGGAACACCGAUGGCGAAGGCAGCCCCCUGGGUCAAGAUUGACGCUCAUGCACGAAAGCGUGGGGAGCAAACAGGAUUAGAUACCCGGGUAGUCC